GUUUCUGUAGCUUAUCAAAAAGCAUGACGCUGAAGACGUCAAGAUGGCUGCCCUAAACACCCAGAAACA
rnacentral:tRNA from 1 species